GACGAACGCUGGCGGCGUGCUUAACACAUGCAAGUCGAACGGCAAGGCCCUGCUUUCGUGGUGUUCCCGAGUGGCGAACGGGUGAGUAACACGUAAGUAACCUGCCCUUGACUUUGGGAUAGCUUCAGGAAGCUGGGGCUAAUACCAGAUCGGAGCCCCCGCUCCAUGGUGGGGGGUGGAAAGUUUCUGCGGGUGGGGAUGGAUUCGCGGCUUAUCAGCUAGUUGGUGGGGUAGGUGAUUGCCCAGGCUUGGCCGGGUCGGCCGCCCGAGAGGGUGACCGGCGACAUUGGGACUGAGAGACGCACCAGACGCGUACGGGAGGCAGCAGUGGGGAAUAUUGCACAAUGGGAGCGCGCCUGAUGCAGAGACGCCGCGUGUGGGAUGACGGCCUUCGGGGUGUGAACCGCUGUCGCCUGUGACGAAGCGUGAGUGACGGUAAUGGGUAAAGAAGCACCGGCUAACUACGUG
rnacentral:rRNA from 1 species